GACGAACGCUGGCGGCGUGCUUAACACAUGCAAGUCGAACGGAAAGGCCCUGCUUUUGUGGGUUGCUCGAGUGGCGAACGGGUGAGUGACACGUGAGUAACCUGCCCUUGACUUUGUGAUAACUUCAGGAAACUCGGGCUAAUACCGGAGAGGAUCUCCUGCUGCAUGGUGGUGGUUGGAGAGUGUCGGCGGUUGGGGAUGGACUGGCGGCUUAUCAGCUUGUUGGUGGGGUAGUGGCUUACCAAGGCUUUGACGGGUAGCCGGCCUGAGAGGGUGACCGGCCACAUUGGGACUGAGAUACGGCCCAGAAUCCUACGGGAGGCAGCAGUGGGGAAUAUUGCAGAAUGGGCGGAAGCCUGAUGCAGAAACGCCGCGUGCGGGAUGACGGCCUUCGGGUUGUAAACCGCUUUCGCCUGUGACGAAGAGUGAGUGACGGUAAUGGGUAAAGAAGCACCGGCUAACUACGUG
rnacentral:rRNA from 1 species